rnacentral:rRNA from 1 species
GACGAACGCUGGCGGCGUGCUUAACACAUGCAAGUCGAACGGAAAGGCCCUGCUUUUGUGGGGUGCUCGAGUGGCGAACGGGUGAGUAACACGUGAGUAACCUGCCCUUGACUUUGGGAUAACUUCAGGAAACUGGGGCUAAUACCGGAUAGGAGCUCCUGCUGCAUGGUGGGGGUUGGAAAGUUUCGGCGGUUGGGGAUGGACUCGCGGCUUAUCAGCUUGUUGGUGGGGUAGUGGCUUACCAAGGCUUUGACGGGUAGCCGGCCUGAGAGGGUGACCGGCCAAAAUGGGAAUGAGAUACGGCCCAGAAUCCUAAGGGAGGCAGCAGGGGGGAAUAAUGCAAAAUGGGCGGAAGCCUGAAGCAGCAACGCCGCGGGCGGGAUGAAGGCCUUCGGGUUGUAAACCGCUUUCGCCUGUGACGAAGCGUGAGUGACGGUAAUGGGUAAAGAAGCACCGGCUAACUACGUG